rnacentral:rRNA from 1 species
GCAUAUCAAUAAGCGGAGGAAAAGAAACCAACAGGGAUUGCCUCAGUAGCGGCGAGUGAAGCGGCAAGAGCUCAGAUUUGAAAUCGUGCUUUGCGGCACGAGUUGUAGAUUGCAGGUUGGAGUCUGUGUGGAAGGCGGUGUCCAAGUCCCUUGGAACAGGGCGCCCAGGAGGGUGAGAGCCCCGUGGGAUGCCGGCGGAAGCAGUGAGGCCCUUCUGACGAGUCGAGUUGUUUGGGAAUGCAGCUCCAAGCGGGUGGUAAAUUCCAUCUAAGGCUAAAUACUGGCGAGAGACCGAUAGCGAACAAGUACUGUGAAGGAAAGAUGAAAAGCACUUUGAAAAGAGAGUGAAACAGCACGUGAAAUUGUUGAAAGGGAAGGGUAUUGCGCCCGACAUGGGGAUUGCGCACCGCUGCCUCUCGUGGGCGGCGCUCUGGGCUUUCCCUGGGCCAGCAUCGGUUCUUGCUGCAGGAGAAGGGGUUCUGGAACGUGGCUCUUCGGAGUGUUAUAGCCAGGGCCAGAUGCUGCGUGCGGGGACCGAGGACUGCGGCCGUGUAGGUCACGGAUGCUGGCAGAACGGCGCAACACCGCCCGUCUUGAAACACCGGACC